rnacentral:rRNA from 1 species
AGGAGGGAAACUUGCUCCCUGAUGUUAGCGGCGGACGGGUGAGUAACACGUGGGUAACCUGCCUGUAAGACUGGGAUAACUCCGGGAAACCGGAGCUAAUACCGGAUAGUUCCUUGACUCGCAUGGUUCGAGGAUGAAAGACGGUUUCGGCUGUCACUUACAGAUGGACCCGCGGCGCAUUAGCUAGUUGGUGGGGUAAUGGCUCACCAAGGCGACGAUGCGUAGCCGACCUGAGAGGGUGAUCGGCCACACUGGGACUGAGACACGGCCCAGACUCCUACGGGAGGCAGCAGUAGGGAAUCUUCCGCAAUGGACGAAAGUCUGACGGAGCAACGCCGCGUGAGUGAUGAAGGUUUUCGGAUCGUAAAGCUCUGUUGUUAGGGAAGAACAAGUGCGAGAGUAACUGCUCGCACCUUGACGGUACCUAACCAGAAAGCCACGGCUAACUACGUGCCAGCAG